rnacentral:lncRNA from 1 species
GGAAUUCUCAGCAGCACUUUUUCGAAAAUGAGUUAAACAUUUUCAUGAGCUUCUAAAAGGAUUGUGGACCCUAGGCAGUGUUGCCCCCUGUGCCGGAUGGGUGAGUUGGCCCUGGGUAAAAUCAGAGCGAUGUGACACAGCCUGGAAAGAACAUGAAAGGACCUAGAGGAUAGAAUUCUCCCCUCCUGGAGGAGGCCAUAAACACAGGAACAGCUGCACAGGAAGGGCCUUGAAUGACCUAAGAAGUGUGGAUUUUAAGGCGACAGAGGUGGUGAGAAACUGCUGCAAGGCUGGAUUGGAGGACUGAUGGUUUGGGGGUGGCACUGGUGGUGGGGAGAGAAAUGAGGAGGCUGUUGCUAUGGUAGUCACAUGUUGGAGCUCACAAAUCAAUGUGGAAAUGAAGCAGGGGGCAAGGGGAAGACAUACUUGGGAAGCCGAAGCCCACUGAUAUGAGGCAGUAAUGCAGAGAGAAGCCUGGGCUAUCUUCUCUGGCUUGGGUGAAUGGCAGAUGCUGCUACCCCUCUUGGAAAAUAGGAAGACGGGAGGAGAACGUGUAUGUGCACCAGGACUUUGGGAAGAUCAAAUGGAAGGUCUUUCACAAAUAACAAAGCAAGGAGACUUCGAGUAACUUCACA